UUUUUUAUAUAUAUAGCUUCUUUGGGUACUUAUAAUGUAAAAUAAUGAAAAAAAUUUCUCGAACUCAAAUUUUGUGAACCAGGGGGGUGUGUCUUUUCCAACAAGCUAAAAAUGGCUCGCGCACAAAAUUUAAAAGCUGUAAUCAUAUUUUGAGUUAAUAGAUUGAAAAUUUGUCGGGUUUUUAAUUACUGUACAAAAUUUCAGACAAUUUGGUUUAGUUUAAGCCCUUUAACUAUUCAUUUUGUUCUAAAAAGUC